rnacentral:rRNA from 1 species
CAUCACUACGCUAGAUGCAUAUCAAUAAGCGGAGGAAAAGAAACUAACAAGGAUUCCCUAGUAACGGCGAGUGAAGCGGGAAGAGCUCAAAUUUGAAAUCUUAAAGGGUUUCCCUUUACGAAUUGUAGUUUAAAGAAGUGUUUUCUGUUGGAGUUUCGGUAAAAGUUCUUUGGAAUAGGACAUCAUAGAGGGUGAGAAUCCCGUAUUUGACCGUUACUUUCCAGCUGUGUGAUACACUUUCAAAGAGUCGGAUUGUUUGGGAAUGCAGUCCAAAAUGGGUGGUAAAUUUCAUCUAAAGCUAAAUAUUGGCGAGAGACCGAUAGCGAACAAGUACCGUGAGGGAAAGAUGAAAAGAACUUUGAAAAGAGAGUUAAACAGUACGUGAAAUUGUCAAAAGGGAAGCGUUUGACACCAGUGUUGUUUAGUUGAAAAUCAAUUCAAUAAUUUUUGAUUUUGAGUAGUAUUGACUUCAUCAGCUUGCUGCUUUCUUUUCGGAAAUUAUUGAAUGCACUUUUCAGUUAACAAGUCAACAUCAAUUUCUUUUGUUGUAAAAGGGUAAGAGGAAGGUGGCUUACUCUUCGGCGUAAAGUGUUUAUAGCCUUGUGACCUCUACAAUCGGAGAGAUUGAGGUACUGCAGCGUAGACUCCUUCGGGGUUAGAUACGCUUGUGCUAAGCUAUAGCCUUGUAUAGACAACUUGUUGACUAUGCUCAGUCAUGUAGCUUACUCGCUUGUGCUAUUUUACCUACGCUUAGGAUGUUGACGAGACUGUCGAUCUC